rnacentral:rRNA from 1 species
CAGUAGCCACGGGAAUACGGAGGGUGCAAGCGUUAAUUGGAAUUACUGGGCGUAAAGCGCACGCAGGCGGUCUGACAAGUCAGAUGUGAAAUCCCCGGGCUUAACCUGGGAACUGCAUUUGAAACUGUCAGGCUGGAGUCUUGUAGAGGGGGGUGGAAUUCCAGGUGUAGCGGUGAAAUGCGUAGAGAUCUGGAGGAAUACCGGUGGCGAAGGCGGCCCCCUGGACAAAGACUGACGCUCAGGUGCGAAAGCGUGGGGAGCAAACAGGAUUAGAUACCCGCGUAGUCCCUGUCUCUUAUAC